GUGGGGAAUCUUGCGCAAUGGGCGAAAGCCUGACGCAGCCAUGCCGCGUGAAUGAUGAAGGUCUUAGGAUUGUAAAAUUCUUUCACCGGGGACGAUAAUGACGGUACCCGGAGAAGAAGCUCCGGCUAACUUCGUGCCAGCAGCCGCGGUAAUACGAAGGGGGCUAGCGUUGCUCGGAAUUACUGGGCGUAAAGGGCGCGUAGGCGGACAGCUUAGUCAGAGGUGAAAGCCCAGGGCUCAACCUUGGAAUUGCCUUUGAUACUGGCUGUCUUGAGUUUGGGAGAGGUGAGUGGAACUCCGAGUGUAGAGGUGAAAUUCGUAGAUAUUCGGAAGAACACCAGUGGCGAAGGCGACUCACUGGCCCGUUACUGACGCUGAGGCGCGAAAGCGUGGGGAACAAACAGGAUUAGAUACCCGUGUAGUCC
rnacentral:rRNA from 1 species